GCUCCCUUAGCUCAAUCGGCAGAGCAACUGACUCUUAAUCAGUGGGUUCUUGGUUCGAGUCCAAGAGGGAGCAC
rnacentral:tRNA from 1 species